GACGAACGCUGGCGGCGUGCUUAACACAUGCAAGUCGAACGGUGAAGCGCCUUCCUUUUUGGUGGGUGUGGAUGAGUGGCGAACGGGUGAGUAACACGUGAGUAACCUGCCCCCUUCUUCUGGAUAACCGCAUGAAAGUGUGGCUAAUACGGGAUAUUCUGGGUCUGUCGCAUGAUGGGUCUGGGAAAGAUAUUGUUUCGGUGGGGGAUGGGCUCGCGGCCUAUCAGCUUGUUGGUGGGGUGAUGGCCUACCAAGGCGGGGACGGGUAGCCGGCCUGAGAGGGUGGACGGUCACACUGGGACUGAGACACGGCCCAGACUCCUACGGGAGGCAGCAGUGGGGAAUAUUGCACAAUGGGCGCAAGCCUGAUGCAGCGACGCCGCGUGAGGGAUGGAGGCCUUCGGGUUGUGAACCUCUUUCGCCAGUGAAGCAGGCCUGCCUCGUUUGUGGGUGGGUUGACGGUAGCUGGAUAAGAAGCGCCGGCUAACUACGUG
rnacentral:rRNA from 1 species